UUGUGCUAGGCGGGGAGUUAGCGGUGCCCUUUGCCCGAAAUCCGCUUUAUGCGGGGCUGAAUUCCCUCUAAAGGGUUUAAUCCUGGAAGGUUAUGAGUUGUGUUGAUCGGCCGCCGCGCAACAGACGGUUACGAACCUCGUCAGGUCCGGAAGGAAGCAGCGAUAAGUAAUGCAGUCUGUGUCGUGGAUUGAUUCCGGUCAUUUUAAUGACUUGCGCAUUUCAGAAAAACUCGAUAGCGGGUGCACAA
rnacentral:SRP_RNA from 1 species